rnacentral:rRNA from 1 species
GAGUCUUAAUUGGGCGUUAAGUUGCAGGGUAUAGACCCGAAACCCGGUGAUCUAGCCAUGGGCAGGUUGAAGGUUGGGUAACACUAACUGGAGGACCGAACCGACUAAUGUUGAAAAAUUAGCGGAUGACCUGUGGCUGGGGGUGAAAGGCCAAUCAAACCGGGAGAUAGCUGGUUCUCCCCGAAAGCUAUUUAGGUAGCGCCUCGUGAAUUCAUCUCCGGGGGUAGAGCACUGUUUCGGCUAGGGGGCCAUCCCGGCUUACCAACCCGAUGCAAACUGCGAAUACCGGAGAAUGUUAUCACGGGAGACACACGGCGGGUGCUAACGUCCGUCGUGAAGAGGGAAACAACCCAGACCGCCAGCUAAGGUCCCAAAGUCAUGGUUAAGUGGGAAACGAUGUGGGAAGGCCCAGACAGCCAGGAUGUUGGCUUAGAAGCAGCCAUCAUUUAAAGAAAGCGUAAUAGCUCACUGGUCGAGUCGGCCUGCGCGGAAGAUGUAACGGGGCUAAACCAUGCACCGAAGCUGCGGCAGCGAACGUAUCACCCAAGACAACUUUACGGAGUUGACGAUUGACGGAGCGAAGCGACGUCAAAGCGUUCAUUAAAGUCGAGUUGGCUUAGGGAUACGUUCGUUGGGUAGG